rnacentral:rRNA from 1 species
UAUGUCGGAUUAGCUAGUUGGUGAGGUAAUGGCUCACCAAGGCAGCGAUCCGUAGCUGGUCUGAGAGGAUGAUCAGCCACAUCGGGACUGAGACACGGCCCGAACUCCUACGGGAGGCAGCAGUGGGGAAUAUUGGACAAUGGGGGCAACCCUGAUCCAGCCAUGCCGCGUGUGUGAAGAAGGCCCUCGGGUUGUAAAGCACUUUCAGCGAGGAAGAACGCCUAGUGGUUAAUACCCAUUAGGAAAGACAUCACUCGCAGAAGAAGCACCGGCUAACUCCGUGCCAGCAGCCGCGGUAAUACGGAGGGUGCAAGCGUUAAUCGGAAUUACUGGGCGUAAAGCGCGCGUAGGUGGCUUGAUAAGCCGGUUGUGAAAGCCCCGGGCUCAACCUGGGAACGGCAUCCGGAACUGUCAGGCUAGAGUGCAGGAGAGGAAGGUAGAAUUCCCGGUGUAGCGGUGAAAUGCGUAGAGAUCGGGAGGAAUACCAGUGGCGAAGGCGGCCUUCUGGACUGACACUGACACUGAGGUGCGAAAGCGUGGGUAGCAAACAGGAUUAGAUACCCUGGUAGUCCACGCCGUAAACGAUGUCGACCAGCCGUUGGGUGCCUAGCGCACUUUGUGGCGAAGUUAACGCGAUAAGUCGACCGCCUGGGGAGUACGGCCGCAAGGUUAAAACUCAAAUGAAUUGACGGGGGCCCGCACAAGCGGUGGAGCAUGUGGUUUAAUUCGAUGCAACGCGAAGAACCUUACCUACCCUUGACAUCGACAGAAGCCGAGAGAGAUCUUGGUGUGCCUUCGGGAACUGUCAGACAGGUGCUGCAUGGCUGUCGUCAGCUCGUGUUGUGAAAUGUUGGGUUAAGUCCCGUAACGAGCGCAACCCUUGUCCUUAUUUGCCAGCGCGUAAUGGCGGGAACUCUAAGGAGACUGCCGGUGACAAACCGGAGGAAGGUGGGGACGACGUCAAGUCAUCAUGGCCCUUACGGGUAGGGCUACACACGUGCUACAAUGGCCGGUACAAAGGGCAGCGAGCUCGCGAGAGUCAGCGAAUCCCUUAAAGCCGGUCUCAGUCCGGAUCGGAGUCUGCAACUCGACUCCGUGAAGUCGGAAUCGCUAGUAAUCGUGA